AAACUGGUUUCCUUGAGUGUGGAUGAGGUAGGCGGAAUUUGUGGGUGUAGCGGUGAAAUGCAUAGAUAUCACGAGGAACUCCCGAUUGCGCAGGCAGCUUACUAAACCAUAACUGACGCUCAAGCACGAAGGCGUGGGGAUCAAACAGGAUUAGAUACCCUGGUAGUCCACGCAGUAAACGAUGAUUACUGGCUGUUUGCGAUAUAAUGUAAGCGGCUGAGCGAAAGCGUUAAGUAAUCCACCUGGGGAGUACGUUCGCAAGAAUGAAACUCAAAGGAAUUGACGGGGGCCCGCACAAGCGGAGGAACAUGUGGUUUAAUUCGAUGAUACGCGAGGAACCUUACCCGGGCUUGAAAUGCGUCUGACAGUCGGAGAGAUCCGAUCUCCCUUCGGGGCAGACGUGUAGGUGCUGCAUGGUUGUCGUCAGCUCGUGCCGUGAGGUGUCGGCUUAAGUGCCAUAACGAGCGCAACCCUCAUCGUUAGUUGCCAUCAGGUAGUGCUGGGGACUCUAACGAGACUGCCAUCGUAAGAUGCGAGGAAGGUGGGGAUGACGUCAAAUCAGCACGGCCCUUACGUCCGGGGCGACACACGUGUUACAAUGGGUGGUACAAAGGGCAGCUACAUGGCGACAUGGUGCCAAUCCCCAAAACCACUCUCAGUUCGGAUCGGAGUCUGCAACUCGACUCCGUGAAGCUGGAUUCGCUAGUAAUCGCGCAUCAGCCACGGCGCGGUGAAUACGUUCCCGGGCCUUGUACACACCGCCCGUCAAGCCAUGGAAGCUGGGGGUGCCUGAAGUCCGUAACCGUUGAGGAGCGGCCUAGGGUAAAACCGGUGACUGGGGCUAAGUCGUAACAAGGUAACCGUA
rnacentral:rRNA from 1 species